CAAUUUUUUCGAGAGUUUGAUCCUGGCUCAGGAUGAACGCUGGCUGUGUGCCUAAUACAUGCAUGUCGAGCGAUGAUAGCAAUAUCAUAGCGGCGAAUGGGUGAGUAACACGUACUCAACGUACCUUUUAGAUUGGGAUAGCGGAUGGAAACAUCCGAUAAUACCGAAUACUUAUUAUUUUUGCAUGAAAGUAAUAUAAAAGGAAGCGUUUGCUUCGCUAAAAGAUCGGAGUGCGCAACAUUAGCUAGUUGGUGAGGUAACGGCCCACCAAGGCGAUGAUGUUUAGCGGGGUUGAGAGAUUGAUCCGCCACACUGGGACUGAGAUACGGCCCAGACUCCUACGGGAGGCAGCAGUAGGGAAUAUUCCACAAUGGACGAAAGUCUGAUGGAGCGACACAGCGUGCAGGAUGAAGGCCAUAUGGGUUGUAAACUGCUGUGGUUAGGGAAGAAAAAGUAGCAUAGGAAAUGAUGCUACCUUGACGGUACCUGAUUAGAAAGCAACGGCUAACUAUGUGCCAGCAGCCGCGGUAAUACAUAGGUUGCAAGCGUUAUCCGAAAUUAUUGGGCGUAAAGCGUCUGUAGGUUGUUUGUUAAGUCUGGCGUUAAAUUUUGGGGCUCAACCCCAAAACGCGUUGGAUACUGGCAGACUAGAGUUAUGUAGAGGUUAGCGGAAUUCCUUGUGAAGCGGUGAAAUGCGUAGAUAUAAGGAAGAACAUCAAUAUGGCGAAGGCAGCUAACUGGGCAUACACUGACACUGAGAGACGAAAGCGUGGGGAGCAAACAGGAUUAGAUACCCUGGUAGUCCACGCCCUAAACGAUGAUCAUUAGUUGAUGGGGAACUCAUCGACGCAGCUAACGCAUUAAAUGAUCCGCCUGAGUAGUACGUUCGCAAGAAUAAAACUUAAAGGAAUUGACGGGGAUCCGCACAAGCGGUGGAGCAUGUGGUUUAAUUUGAAGAUACGCGUAGAACCUUACCCACUCUUGACAUCUUCUGCAAAGCUAUGGAGACAUAGUGGAGGUUAACAGAAUGACAGAUGGUGCAUGGUUGUCGUCAGCUCGUGUCGUGAGAUGUUCGGUUAAGUCCUGCAACGAGCGCAACCCUUAUCCUUAGUUACUACCAUUUAGUUGAGCACUCUAAGGAGACUGCCCGAGUAAUCGGGAGGAAGGUGGGGACGACGUCAAAUCAUCAUGCCUCUUACGAGUGGGGCUACACACGUGCUACAAUGGACGGUACAAAGAGAAGCGAAGUGGUGACAUGGAGCAAACCUCAAAAAACCGUUCUCAGUUCGGAUUGAAGUCUGCAACUCGACUUCAUGAAGUCGGAAUCGCUAGUAAUCGUAGAUCAGCUACGCUACGGUGAAUACGUUCUCGGGUCUUGUACACACCGCCCGUCAAACCAUGGGAGCUGGUAAUGCCCGAAGUCGGUUUAUAAAGAAACUGCCUAAGGCAGGACUGGUGACUGGGGUUAAGUCGUAACAAGGUAUCCCUACGAGAACGUGGGGAUGGAUUACCUCCUUUCU
rnacentral:rRNA from 2 species